rnacentral:rRNA from 1 species
GUGCCAGCCGCCGCGGUAAUACGUAGGUGGCAAGCGUUAUCCGGAAUUAUUGGGCGUAAAGCGCGCGUAGGCGGUUUUUUAAGUCUGAUGUGAAAGCCCACGGCUCAACCGUGGAGGGUCAUUGGAAACUGGAAAACUUGAGUGCAGAAGAGGAAAGUGGAAUUCCAUGUGUAGCGGUGAAAUGCGCAGAGAUAUGGAGGAACGCCAGUGGCGAAGGCGACUUUCUGGUCUGUAACUGACGCUGAUGUGCGAAAGCGUG